ensembl:snoRNA SNORD58 Small nucleolar RNA SNORD58
CCGCGUUGAUGGCAUUUCUUGGACACCUUUGGAUUAACCAUGAAAACAAGUACUUGCUGAGCGGC